rnacentral:rRNA from 1 species
CACUUGUUCUUUUAAGUUUAUACUUUAAUGAAAUUAAUAUCUUCGAAACAUCAAUCUAAUUAGUAGUUGUGAUCAAAAAUUAUUAGUUAAAAUAUUUAACAGUACCGCAGGGGAAAAAGAAUAUCUUCAAUAACAGUAGUUUGAUAUAGCGUACUUUUUGCAUCACGACCUAGCAAGAAAAAGGUAAAGAUUUAUUUUCUCGAAGAUCUGUGAGCUAUCUUAUUUUUGUUUUUAGAACAGAAUCAUUCUAAAUGUUGCAAAAUUUAAAUGAAAAAAUAAGAUAGAAAUGAUAUUUCUUCCGCACUGAUGAUAGCUAGUUUUCUUAGAAAUGUGUAAAAGUACACAAUGAAUAUAUUAGAUUAAGAAUGAUAAGAUUACAAUCAUUGUUAAUUUAAGUUCUGUUGGACUUUUUUGAGGAUAAGCUCGAAAAUUGCUGUUGAGAACUAUAUAAUUUAAAAUUAUUGUAUAGGCCUAAAAUUAGCCACUACGAGAGUUUGUUAUAAAACAAUAAGAAUACAUAAGAAUAUUAUUAUAUAUAAUGCCAUAUAAAGCUAUAAGAAUAAUAACCUAAAUUUAUAGGUUAGUAUGCCUAUGCUAGGAUGAGUAUUAAAACUAUUUAAGUUGAAAGAGAUAUUUCCUAAACUAAUAUUUUCUAUACUAAUUAAGGAGAAGGAAUUCGGCAAAUGUUGUUCCGCCUGUUUAUCAAAAACAUGGCUCUUUGAGGAAACCAUAUAAAGAGUCGAACCUGCCCAGUGAAUAAUUUUAACGGCCGCGGUACCCUGACCGUGCAAAGGUAGCAUAAUCAUUUGCCUUAUAAUUGAAGGCUGGCAUGAAUGGUCUGACGAGAGCAACACUGUCUCCUCUUUAUUACUUAAAAAUUAACUUAUAGGUGAAGAGGCCUAUAUUAAAUUGAAGGACAAGAAGACCCUGUCGAGCUUAAAAGAAAAGUUAGAAGUUAGCUAUUAAAUAAAAAUCAAUAAACUAUGUAGCUUUUUAGUUGGGGCGACUAAGGAACAAGUAAAGCUUCUUUUAUUUUAAUAAAUUUACAGAUUUGGAUCCAGCAAAGCUGAUCAAAGAAAUUAGUUACCGCAGGGAUAACAGCAUAAUCUCCUUUGAGAGACCUAAUCGAAAGGGGGGGUUGUGACCUCGAUGUUGGACUAGAAUAUCCUGAAGAUGCAGACGUCUUCGAGGGUUGGUCUGUUCGACCAUUAAAAUUCUACGUGAUCUGAGUUCA